UUUUGUAUUUUCAGGCUAUCCUUUGUCUCUUCAUUAGACUGUUUCACUCAUUGCAUUCUUGAGAUUGUCAGACAUCGUCGUCUAGUCAUCUAGUCUCCUAGCUCCUGCUUAAUUGUUAAGUUUGCUGUUCUGCUUACUGGUGCAUAAGCACUCCGUUUGAAAUUCAUAAACUUUUGACAUACAAAUUUUCUGUUGUAUCUUUCUAAUUCUAAUUAAUAUCAUAAUUGCUACACUAGCAUUUGUGCCGUAAGACCACAUUUUAAGUAUAAAAAUUGAUGUUUGUUAUUUCCUUGUGCAGCGCAUGCCGGACACAUUUGUCCAGAAACAUGGAGACUGAACUCCUUGCUUAGGUGUUCAGCUUCCUUCUCUCCCACCUUUUUAGCCUUCUGGACAAUUGAUCGAUAUUGUCAAUCUUAUUGUUCUCACUGAUACUUUCUGGUGCGUGGAUGUUUAGAAGGCUGGUAAAAUGAUUUGGUUUCACUAUGGUUAGCUAGAAUUUAUGGAACAUCAUUCUGUCAGCUGUUGGUACUUUUUACUUUUCAAAUAUGGACUGAACUAAUGUUUCAAUGUUCACGUAUUGACCUCACUGCUACCGAGAUUGAUUUAUCAAUUUAGGAGUCAUGUCAAUGCUAAACUACAUGAUGUUUGUCAUGAUCUUUCUCGCGGAAAGGAAAAAAUUGUUAGCGAUAAGGAUGGCUAGAGCUGUGUUAAAAUUAUGAAUCCCUUGGAAGCUGAGCAAGGACCAUAGAGUCUGCCUAAGUCAUCUGAAUUUCCUCAUGGAGCCAAAAGACGUAAAAUUGCACCUGGAAGGAUGAAGCUUUUGCAUUGCUAUGAAACAAGAUGCAUAACAAACAAUUACAUGACGACAGACGGCUAUUAAAUGUGAAGAAUUUGAAUAUAUGGGGCAAUAGCAGUUUAACUAAGCCACUCAGCGGCAAAUUAAUUCGUCAAAGUAUGAAAGUUCCUAUACAUUCUGCAGCGGCAACUGGAGCAAUGGGAGAAAUCUGUAGGGCGUGGAAGGUAUGAUCGCCGCAAAAGAGGGCAACCAAGAGCUUCAGAAGCGAGCAGGGUCAUUAAAGCUGCCAAAACUUUCAUGCCAGAAAAUCCUUACUUCUUGCGGAUUCUUGAAAAAUCUGGAAAAGAGUUAUUGGGACAUAUAGAUGGAAGUGAUCCUUUUCCUACAGAUCCUACAAAGCUUGGGGAAUGGAAGAUUAAAGAUGCUCAGGUGAUGACAUGGAUUUUAGGGUCAAUUGACCCUCUUAUUGUUCUUAAUCUCAGGUCAUACAAGACAACAAAGGCCAUGUGGGAUUACUUACAAAAGGCUUACAUCCAAGACCAUAACACAAGUAGCUUUCAACUAGAGCAUGAAAUUGCUAAUUACUCUCAAGGAGGUCUCUCCAUUCAAGAUUAUUUUUCAGGAUUUUAGAACUCAUGGGCUGAAUUUAUUGAUAUUAUUUAUGCUAAACUAU